GCCAGCAACCAUAUCCCCCUGCAACUCACAACUAGCAACCCUCUGAAGCUCAGCAGGUGUGAGCCGUGUCAGUACCUGGAUGGGAGACCUCCUGGGAAAAACUAAAUGUUGCUGCUGGAA
rnacentral:rRNA from 1 species